ACCGCCACACCCAGCGAAUUUGGGGCCUUUGCAAAAGGCUGUGCUUUUGGUAGUUGAUGGGGAUGGGAGCCCUGGGUCUUCCAUAGGGAGGGAAGUAGAUUCCCCUCUGCUGAAGACAGAGUGGAUGGCUAAGAGUAGCAGAGGUGUGACCUAAAAGAUGCUUAAGCUUGUCCCUUUGGUAAGCAUUCCCUUCCAAAAGCUAGACAUAGAAUGUUGGGGGUGCAUACCUGUAAGAGGGUAGCAGCUUUCCAGAAACAGUUAUUUAACUUAUUAGAUUUUGUGUGUAUGUGAGAGAGAGUGGAAAGAAAGGAUGAAUACCUGACAUUUCUCACAUAGUGUUCAUUUUGUCUUGAUUUAAAAAAUAUGCAUAUGUUUUGCAACUUUUUAUUAUUAUUAUUAUUUUAAUUUAGAGGCCUGAAAAAAAGAAAUGGUAGGCCCCUGUAGGCUCUCCCAGGCUUAGCAGAGAAGCAGCCUUCCUCUAAGAAGGAAGGAGAAGAGAUGAAGCAGCCUGGGGAGUCAGCGGGUUUCACGAAGAAACUGUGGGAGCUGGAGAAAAUCAAGUUUCUUGAAGGCCCAGCCGGCCUUCAGAGCCUGUGCUCAACGCUCGUCAGGACAAAGGAUACUGCGCCCCCUGGUGUUAGACUCAUCAGAUUCCAGCUUGCUGUGUGGAGCUCGGCAGCCAUGAGCUGCCAGGGAACGUUUCUUCUGUUUGCUAACCGAAUCCGAGUAGAAAUUGCCCCACUUUCUCAAUUCUGGAGUCUAGGUAUGAAGACCAGACUGGGUUUCCAUUGAAGAUUACAGCCAUUCCUCAUCUAGUCAGAUGAUCAGCCCCGAGGAAGGACUGUGGAGCCAGUAAGCGGUGUCCACUCUUUAAACCUGUAUGUCUUGUCUCUAAUGUGAACCGCCAGUUAUGCCUCACGGCGGCUUCUUCCUUCUGCGCUGCCUUUCAGCUGCUAUCUCUGUGUAAUGGGCACAUUUUAUGAUGAUCACUAUUUAUUAGGGAUCUCAUGUUCGCCCUGUGAAGAUCACUUGAGCAGCAACCUUAGUUCUGUAGCUGUGACUGGCGUAUGCAGCCCUGCCCCUCAUAAGAUGGUGUCACAGGUCCAUAUACUGUCUGGAGGAGCUGGUCUCCCUUUGAGAGAGGUGAGCCAAGAGGAAGAACAGCACCCGGAUGAGAUGGCCAAUGCGCUCUCAGGAAGGGGGAGAUGCUGUAUGAGAAAGGCUUACCAGAUGGCGAAUGCAGUGAUUUGGAGCACUGGGUCCCACUUUAAAAGAAACAACAAUGCUAUGGGCUAAAGUGCAGGCUUCCAGGAUUCAUAGCUACAGCUCUAAUCCCUAGUCCUGCAGAAUGUUGUUGUGUUUGGGGACAGGUUAAUUUUUUAAAAAACUGCAUUUAUUUCUUUACCUCUUUAGUUAUUUGCUGUGUGUACACACUUUUCGAAGCCGGAGAACAACGUUUGGGGGUUGGCCUUCUCCUUUUUGGAUUCCAGGGAUCAAAUUUCAAUAAUCAGUCUUGGCAGCAAGCACAUUUACCCCAAGCUGAGCCAUCUCUUCAACCCCAGGAGAUAGGUUCUUUAGAGACAUAAUUAUGUUUCAGUGAGGUAAGCGUUAAUCUAUGGUGAUUGAUGUAGUCUAGAUAAGAUGUUGACAGAAAGACCAUAUGAAGAUAUGAGGACGAGGAGACCAGAUAUGAGGACACGGAGGCCAGAUACGAGCCAAGGAAAGAUCUUCAGAAGAAAUCAACCCUGCUGAUGACCUUGGAUUUUGUAGCUUUUGCUUAUGGCAGUACCAUCAGACUAAUGCAACCUACUCUUUGGCACCAGCCAGUUAUGUGCAGCCACUUGGAGAUGCCGAUCCUGUGUCAACAGAUUCUCCAGCGGGUUCUGCCUUUUCAUAUUUGACCAGACCUCCAGCCAUCACGGAACUAGUCUAGCUGACAAAUAAUAUAAAUUGAUAACCACCGGGAAAGAAUUUAUAAAACCCAGAAGUUUGUCAUGGGUGGAAGGAAAGCCACAGAUUCAAUUCUAUCGAUUCUAAUGUGGCCCUGACCAUUAAAAGAGAGAGAGAGAGAGAGAACCUAAGGACCUCACAAUACAAUGUCUCACACAAGGCAGGGAAGUCAUCCUGGUCUACAGUGGCUGCUUGGUGAACUCCGGCGGUUCUCCUGUCUUUACCCCCAGCACUGCGACUACAGACAUAUCAGCACAGGAGACUCUUUCGUGGGCACUGGGGCCCUGAAUUAAGCUCUCAUGCUUGCAUGGCAGGCCCUCAGGACACACAGGAUGAUCCUUCCAAGUCACUCCCUGGAGAGAGUGGGGCUCUCGCUGGCCUGUGUCAGAGAAGCUGCUUUCCCAACCUCUUCCCUGUAAAUUCCCAGCCUCUCCCAUUCGUUUUCAUUCUUCUCUAUAGUUUGUAUGUAAAGAGGCAUUGGAAUUAGACUGUGAUGGGCUAAGAGUUAUGAGGCUUUGGUGGGCACGGCCUGUACUUGGUACAGCAAAGGUCAUUUCAUGAUGCCUGCUCCUGAAUCACAGCUACCCAUCUCCUACUGUGCCCCAGGAGACAGCCUCUCCUCACCUCUUACUAAGAAAUGGUACAAUUUAGAGUAAGGGAUGAUCCCACAUUUAAGAGGCUUGAAAUUGUAUACUUGGCAUUUCUGAGUUAAGAUCUAAAAUAUAGUCCCCUUAAUCAUAGAGAAGAUAAAAAACGUAGUUACAACUUUUCAUUUAAAAAUGAUUGCAUUAAGAGAAAUGGAAAAAUCAUGCUGAUAUAAAACUAUUCAUAGUAUCAGCAGGGCUGGGGCUAUAGUUCAAUCCUGGAGGGCUUGCCUAGCAAUGUGCAUGAUCCGAGGUUCAAGCCCCAGCACUGCAAAAGAAAAGGGGGAGGGGAGGUGGUAUUCACAGCAGCAUUUUCAAUACGGGCAGGAAGGGGAAGGAACUCAAACGCCUACCCAAGAAGGGGUAAGCGUAAAGUGGUUUAUCUCUAUAACUGGAUACUGCUCAGUCAUAGAAAGGUAUGACAUGAUAGGUAUGAUGAUGUCUCUUUAUAAACAUCUUCCUAAGUAACAGGCCAAUCACAAGGGAAGGCAUGUACUCCAUAUUUCUGGAGUAUAUAGGCAUACCUAUUUAGAAAAAAAAGAAGGACAGUGGUUGCAUGGGACUUGAAGAGAAGGCCUGGAUUUUGUGAGACAGCAGAGUGCUACAGAAUUUCUUUGGGUGGUGAUAAAAGUCUUCUUGAAUUAAUUGAAAUAACAGUUGUGCCAUUUGAUAAACUGCAUUUAAAAAGCACUGAGUUUUACUUUUAAAUGGGUGAGUUGCAUGGUACAGUGAUUAUCUCUCAAUAAAACCACGGUUAUAUUUUAAGAAAUA